GCAAAAGACGCGUCUCCGGCAGUUGCCCUUCCAAAUCGUUAAAAUACACUCAUUUAAGUAGCCGUGCGUUAGCGAUAGCCACUGCCUGUCCUGUGAACCCUGUAACUUUUUUCCCAGUUGGUCUGAGUUAGUUAUCUGAGAGGUGAUCAGUUAAUGAGAGACUGGGUUUAUACUAAUCUCCUUAAUUGGCACUUCCUGUGGUUGAUCCUUAAAUAGUGCUCAGCUGAGGCUGAACUUUAUGCAGCUUCCAUUUGGCUCUGGACACUUGAGCAACUGAGUGUCUGACACAUGUACAGAGCCCACAAGCUGCCAUGAGCUAUUUCUACAUGUAACUAGGUGACUACGCCUUGCAGCUUCCCCUACGUUAUAGGCUUUAACUUCAUUAUGUGAUCAGGCAUGUUGCCAACUUUGAAGGCCAUUCCACACAUCUGAGUGAUCUGGCUUGCCGUCCAGGUGAUUUAAGUGCCAAUCUUGAUAAAGGUCCGCAUAAGGACCGAAACGUCGAUGAAAUACGGCAUCAACAGUGAAC